rnacentral:rRNA from 1 species
UCCUUUCCGGGACUUAGUGCCGCAGCUAACGCAUUAAGCACUCCGCCUGGGGAGUACGACCGCAAGGUUGAAACUCAAAGGAAUUGACGGGGGCCCGCACAAGCGGUGGAGCAUGUGGUUUAAUUCGAAGCAACGCGAAGAACCUUACCAGGUCUUGACAUCCCGAUGCCCGCUCUAGAGAUAGAGCUUUACUUCGGUACAUCGGUGACAGGUGGUGCAUGGUUGUCGUCAGCUCGUGUCGUGAGAUGUUGGGUUAAGUCCCGCAACGAGCGCAACCCUUAUUGUUAGUUGCCAUCAUUCAGUUGGGCACUCUAGCGAGACUGCCGGUAAUAAACCGGAGGAAGGUGGGGAUGACGUCAAAUCAUCAUGCCCCUUAUGACCUGGGCUACACACGUGCUACAAUGGCUGGUACAACGAGUCGCAAGCCGGUGACGGCAAGCUAAUCUCUGAAAGCCAGUCUCAGUUCGGAUUGUAGGCUGCAACUCGCCUACAUGAAGUCGGAAUCGCUAGUAAUCGCGGAUCAGCACGCCGCGGUGAAUACGUUCCCGGGCCUUGUACACACCGCCCGUCACACCACGAGAGUUUGUAACACCCGAA